CUGUUUUGUCAAUUCAAAAAUCUUAACCUUACUUUUACAAGUGAUUAGGAUUAUUAUUUUAUUUACAUAUAAAUUGAAACAAUAAAUAUUGUGCUGUGUCAUAAUUUAAAACUCAUUAUGUUGCAGUCUUUUCCAGUUGAUAAAAUUGCAAUUCAAAAACUUUUAGAUUUGCACUAGAUUGGCACAGAAAGAGAACAGUACAAGAACAUGAAACAUCUUAUUAUGAAUGUAUAUGUAAGUGAUCCUCAAAAAAUUAUUUUACAAAACAAGAUAGAGAAAGAGCUUUAAAAUCCCAAGGAUCCUGCAAAAUGUUUAUUUGGUGUACUAGUCGAAUAAUAGUAUCUAAAAUUAUUGAAACUAUUUUAAAACAUAUUACGGACACGAGGAUGAUAUAGAGCACUUACAUAAAUACCAAAAUCAGAUAAAUAUCUCUUCAAAGUUUAUUUUGAGACUUCCUUCAAAAAUGUAAGUAAAAUAUUUGCAUAUCGACGGCGGAAAGGUAGGACUUCGUAACUGAAAAAAUUUUAUAACAUGAGUUAAUUCAGUUUUCGCUUUAGAAUAAGUGUAUCGGCAGCUAUUAAACAGCGAUUACAGCUGGGAAAGUUUCCGGAAGGCUUCUAGAAGGCUUUCCCAGCUCUAAAAGCUGUUUAAUAGGUGCUGAUGCACUUAUUAUAAAUCGAAAACCGAAGUAACUCAUUUUAUACAAAUUUUUCAGUUAUGAGGUCCUGCCUUUCCGCCGUCGAUAUACACAAUAUAAUUUAAAACAAGAAUGUUACCACUAAACCACUUUUUUAAAUAUUACUCAUGAAUAUUUACUACAUUUUACAAUUUCAAACUAGUGUGUUUGAUUCUCCUAUACCUAUAUUUUACUUUUUUAGUAAACUUCAGACUGUUCAGGAUAGCAUAAUAGCAUAGGAGGCGAAUUAAAAAGAAUUAAUUUACUUACAAGUAAAGAUAUCACAAACAUUAAACUAUCUUAUGCUUACAGACUCAUGUCCAAUAUUAUUUUACAAACAACAGGGCAUACUAAUGGAUAUUCAUUCUGAAUUUAAUAUUUAUGAUUUUUGUCUUAUUUUCCUUAAUACUGUGCAAAAAUGAAAUGUUAAUUAAGUGUGGUAAAUCCUUUAUCGCAAUCGAUGGAACUCAUAGGCUCAAUUCCUAUGACUUUGAACUUAUGACAGUAUUAGUAAAAGAUGAAUUUGGGAAUGGAUUUUGUACUGCUUUCUUAUUUUCAAAUAGAAAAAAUACCUACUUUAAUUUACCGAUUUUUUAAAUACAUGUCUGUGUUGGUAUUAUAUGUAUAGUCAAAUGUUUUCAUAUCAGGCAUAAGCGACACCUUUUACAAUGCCUCGUCAAAUGUAAUGGGUAUUGCUCCUAAUAGACUGUUAAGUGCCUGGCACAUAGAUAGGGCAUGGUAAGUAAAUCUUAAUAAAAUAUCUGAUUCUGAAAAAAUCCUAUUAUGUAUACAAGAUGUAUUAAUGAUGGUUUAGAGAGUAUUAAUAGCUUUUUGGGUAGACUUCUAAGUGAUGCAGAUACAUACAAUUUUAGUAAGUAUUUCCAGUAGAACUAGUGCAAUAACAUCCAACAAUGGGCCUAUUGUUAUAGGAAGGGGUUGUGGAAUUAAUACCAAUAUGACCAUUCAAAAUUUUCAUAAAAUUUUGGAUAAAAGGGUAUCCAUUAGUUGUUAUCAGUUAAGUUUGAAACUUCGCACUUAUGGAGAGCUAUACCAUAAUAUAUAAUAUGUAUAUCUCAUAAUAUUACAUCUCAUAUUGCUCACUCAUUACAAUAGUGAGCAAUAUGAGAUAUAACAUAUUAUAGUAUAAGUCUCUGUGCAUGACCAGAUUAACAUGUUUAGUGCCCAUCUCGAACAAGCUCCACUUGGCUGGUACCACAUACUUAAAUCAUUUAUUUAGUUACACAGUACUACUCACAUAACUUAUGUGUCGUCAGUACCUUCCGUAAAACCUUCGUGAUGCUACCCAUAUGUCAUGGCCACUGAAUGUGUUAAAGCUUGUUAAUGUAGGAGAGUUAUACUAAAAUAUAUAUCUUAUAUUAUAUUGCCUUAAAUAGAAAAAAAUAUCUUAUUUAAAUUGUAUCCAUGUAAGUUUUGAUUUAAUGAAAUAAACCUUUUAAUCAAAAAAGUGUUGUUUACUUGUGUACACCCAGCAAUAUCCUGAUCAUAGAUAAAUAAUAUAGUAUUACCGGAUCCUGAUAUGCAGACGCCAAUAGGGCUUUUCAUCGAUUGUCAUUUGUUUCGAGCUUCUGUCAUGAGUCACAUAAUAUUAAUGUAUCUACGUCAUACGUCUUUGGUUUGUAUCAUUGGUAUAUAGCAUAUACCAAUAACGUAUGACGUAAAUAUAUUAAUAUUAUGAGACACAUGACAGAAGCUCGAAACAAAUGACUGUGAAUGAAAUGCCCUAUUGAAUAGGGCUUUUCAUCGAUUGUCAUUUGUUUCGAGCUUCGUUCAAGUGUCACAUAAUAUUAAUAUAUCUACGUCAUACGUCUUUGGUUUGUAUCAUUGGCAAUAUCAAUAACAUAUGACAUAGAUAUAUUAAUAUUAGACGACACAUGACAGAAGCUCGAAAUAAAUGACUAAGUGAAAAGCCCUAUAUCAUGUAAAUACAAGUCAUAAAGAUGUCCUUCUACGGUUAAAAUUUCACAGCCUAAAGACAUCAUUUAUGUAACUUCUUAAGCCGUCACAAAAUGACUGCAAUAAGAAAAUAGAAUUUAUUAACUCGCCUCGCCCCCAGGCAAAGUAAAGGUGCUAGGCCACUAAGAAUGUUUUUUUCAAUUUUUUUAUUUUGUGGCUUUAGCGCUUAGCUAUUUAGC
rnacentral:lncRNA from 1 species